rnacentral:ncRNA from 2 species
CAAUCCCGCACGGGAGAGUCUUCUCGGCUGCCGGCUGGUGGUCGUGGAGCGCCGAAGGGGCAACCCCUCCCCGGAACCUCUCAGGCGCCAAGGACCGUGCGGGCUGG